GCAUAAUAAGUUGCCUCUUAAUUAGAGGCUAGAAUCAACGAACUAACGCGAGCCCCCCUGUCUCUCUUAUGCCCCCAAAACUUAACCUUUAGGUGAAAAUGCCUAAAUACAACUAAUAGACAAGAAGACCCUAUCGAGCUUCAUUGCAAAUUAUCAAGAGGCCAACUUGCUCACCCCCCCUUCAUAAAGUCGCAAUUUUGUUGGGGCAACAAAGGACCAUCUAAACCUUCCUUAAAUACCUUUAAUAACAAUAACAACGAGCCAAUAAAACGAUCUUAGGAUAAAUGCUACCGUAGGGAUAACAGGUUAAUUUUUCUCGAGAGCCCACAUUAACAGAAAAGU
rnacentral:rRNA from 1 species